CGUAGGUGAACCUGCGGAGGGAUCAUUACCGAGUUUACAACUCCCAAACCCAAUGUGAACGUUACCAUUCCGUUGCUUCGGCGGGAGUGCCCCGGGCGCGGCCGAGAGGCCCAGCCCCGGACCCAGGCGCCCGCCGGAGGACCCAAACUCUUGUGUUUUACAGUGGAAUCUUCUGAGUGGCCAUAGGCAAAAAAUGAAUCAAAACUUUCAACAACGGAUCUCUUGGUUCUGGCAUCGAUGAAGAACGCAGCGAAAUGCGAUAAGUAAUGUGAAUUGCAGAAUUCAGUGAAUCAUCGAAUCUUUGAACGCACAUUGCGCCCGCCAGUAUUCUGGCGGGCAUGCCUGUUCGAGCGUCAUUUCAACCCUCAAGCCCCCCCGGGGGCUCGGUGUUGGGGACCGGCCCCGCCUAGCCGCGGGUCGCCGCCCCCGAAAUACAGUGGCGGUACCGCCGCAGCCUCCCCUGCGUAGUAGCACUUGAAACCUCGCACCGGAGCGCGGCGCUGCCAGCCGUCAAACCCCAACUUCUGAAAGGUUGACCUCGGAUCAGGUAGGAAUACCCGCUGAACUUAAGCAUAUCAAUAAGCGGAGGAA
rnacentral:rRNA from 1 species